rnacentral:rRNA from 1 species
AUUGAACGCUGGCGGCAUGCCUUACACAUGCAAGUCGAACGGCAGCACGGGAGCAAUCCUGGUGGCGAGUGGCGAACGGGUGAGUAAUAUAUCGGAACGUGCCCAGUCGUGGGGAUAACGUAGCGAAAGCUACGCUAAUACCGCAUACGAUCUAUGGAUGAAAGCGGGGGAUCGCAAGACCUCGCGCGAUUGGAGCGGCCGAUAUCAGAUUAGGUAGUUGGUGAGGUAAAGGCUCACCAAGCCGACGAUCUGUAGCUGGUCUGAGAGGACGACCAGCCACACUGGGACUGAGACACGGCCCAGACUCCUACGGGAGGCAGCAGUGGGGAAUUUUGGACAAUGGGCGCAAGCCUGAUCCAGCAAUGCCGCGUGCAGGAUGAAGGCCUUCGGUUGUAACUGCUUUGUUACGGAACGAACGGUGAGCUCUAAUAC